CCCCUGUUUAUCAAAAACAUGUUCUUUUGGUUUUAUUUAAAAGAUUGGCCUGCUCACUAAAUUUAAAGAGCUGCAGUAUUAUGACUGUACAAAGGUAGCAUAAUCAUUAGUUUUUUAAUUGGAGACUGGUAUGAAAGGUUUGACACGGAGGCACUGUCUUAAAUUUAAUAAUUGAAUUUUUCUUUUUUGUUAAAAGACAAAAAUGAUUAUAAGGGACAAGAAGACCCUUUUAAAGUUGAUUAAUAUUAUGAUAUUUUACGUUUAUUAUUAUUGUAUUAUCGUUUAGUUUAGUUUGGCUGGGGCGGCAAAUGUAAUUAAUAAAACAACAUUUAAAAUAAAUAUGGAAAAAGCUGUUUUUAAGGUCUUUAUAGAAGACAGAAAGAAAAAGUUACUAAGGGAUAACAGCCUAAUAUGUUUUAAGAGUUCUUAUUGACAAACAUGUUUGCGACCUCGAUGUUGGAUUAAGAUAAUCUUUUUAGCUGCAAGAGGCGUUUAGGUGGGUCUGUUCGACCUUUAAUAUCUUACAUGAUCUGAGUUCAACCGG
rnacentral:rRNA from 1 species